rnacentral:rRNA from 1 species
AACGAACGCUGGCGGCAGGCCUAACACAUGCAAGUCGAACGGGAUCUUCGGAUCUAGUGGCGGACGGGUGAGUAACGCGUGGGAACGUGCCCUUUGGUUCGGAAUAGCCCUGGGAAACUGGGAGUAAUACCGGAUGUGGUCGAGAGACGAAAGAUUUAUCGCCAAAGGAUCGGCCCGCGUUGGAUUAGGUAGUUGGUGGGGUAAUGGCCUACCAAGCCGACGAUCCAUAGCUGGUUUGAGAGGAUGAUCAGCCACACUGGGACUGAGACACGGCCCAGACUCCUACGGGAGGCAGCAGUGGGGAAUCUUAGACAAUGGGGGAAACCCUGAUCUAGCCAUGCCGCGUGAGCGAUGAAGGCCUUAGGGUUGUAAAGCUCUUUCGUGGGGGAAGAUAAUGACUGUACCCCAAGAAGAAGCCCCGGCUAACUCCGUGCCAGCAGCCGCAGUAACAC